rnacentral:ncRNA from 1 species
GCCGGGUGGCUACGUUCGGAAGGGAUAACCGCUGAAAGCAUCUAAGCGGGAAGCCCGCCUCAAGAUGAGACAUCCCUGAGGGCAUGACCCUCCUAAAGACCCCGGAGACACUAUCCGGUUGAUAGGCUGCAGGUGCAGGCACGGCGACGUGCAUAGCCGAGCAGUACUAAUAGGUCGUGAGGCUUGACCAU